CUACGAAAAACAAGAAAAAACUGAGGAAAAAAACUUUCACAGGAAAGCUUCUAAUAUAUAUCACAAUAUCCAGGAUCAGAGUGUCAUGGUGCCUCUGUCAGACUCCUCCCCCUCCCCUCUCUGCUUGGCUCCUGACUCAUCACAGCUGCGUCCACUCACCUCAUCAGCCGCCUGCCUUCUUAAGGGGAUCCAGGACCAGUCUCCAGUGCCAGAUCGUUGCUCCUCUAUGGAAUCCGUUACUACGAGUGGGCGCCUGAGUCAUCUUCGCUUCUGGAACCAAGCCUCAGAAUUCUCCCGGUCACACCACGAGCCUCUGCCGACUCAAGCCGCACCAACCGCCGCCGAUUCAAGCUAAUCCACCAGUGACGCCACGGGCUGCAGACACAUUCAAUCAUCUUCGUGGGAAUCUCUCGGACGUGACUACUCCACCCAAACAUCUACAAAACCUAGAACCGAACAUUAAAACUCAUAACCCAUCA